UACGGAGGGUGCAAGCGUUAUCCGGAUUCACUGGGUUUAAAGGGUGCGUAGGCGGGCAGGUAAGUCAGUGGUGAAGUCUCCGGGCUUAACCCGGAAACUGCCGUUGAUACUAUCUGUCUUGAAUAUCGUGGAGGUAAGCGGAAUAUGUCAUGUAGCGGUGAAAUGCUUAGAUAUGACAUAGAACACCCAUUGCGAAGGCAGCUUACUACACGAUCAUUGACGCUGAGGCACGAAAGCGUGGGGAGCAAACAGG
rnacentral:rRNA from 1 species